rnacentral:misc_RNA from 1 species
GAUGAAGAACGUAGCGAAAUGCGAUAAGUAGUGUGAAUUGCAGAAUUCAGUGAAUCAUCGAAUCUUUGAACGCACAUGGCGCCUUCCAGUAUCCUGGGAGGCAUGCCUGUCCGAGCGUCGUUUCAACCCUCGAGCCCCCGUGGCCCGGCGUUGGGGAUCUGCCACGGCAGGCCCCUAAAACCAGUGGCGGACCCGAAGGCCCUCUCCUUUGCGCAGUAGCAUCAGCCUCGCAUUGGGAUCCCUCGGCGUCCUGCCUCUAAACCCCCCGCAAGUCCGCUCCGGCGGCACCAAGGUUGACCUCGGAUCAGGUAGGAAUACCCGCUGAACUUAAGCAUAUCAAUAAGCGGAGGA